GGCUGGGUAGCUCAGUGGAUGAGAGCCAAGCCUAGAGGUGGGAGGUCCUAGGUUCGAAUCCCAGCCUCAGCCA
rnacentral:tRNA from 1 species